rnacentral:rRNA from 1 species
ACGAACGCUGGCGGCGUGGAUAAGACAUGCAAGUCGAACGGGAGAAUUGCUAGCUUGCUGAUAAUUCUCUAGUGGCGCACGGGUGAGUAACACGUGAGUAACCUGCCUCUUAGUGGGGGAUAGCCCUGGGAAACCGGGAUUAAUACCGCAUACGAUUGAAAGAUCAAAGCAGCAAUGCGCUAGGAGAUGGGCUCGCGGCCUAUUAGUUAGUUGGUGAGGUAACGGCUCACCAAGGCGAUGACGGGUAGCCGGUCUGAGAGGAUGUCCGGCCACACUGGAACUGAGACACGGUCCAGACACCUACGGGUGGCAGCAGUCGAGAAUCAUUCACAAUGGGGGCAACCCUGAUGGUGCGACGCCGCGUGGGGGAAUGAAGGUCUUCGGAUUGUAAACCCCUGUCAUGUGGGAGCAAAUUAAAAAGAUAGUACCACAAGAGGAAGAGACGGCUAACUCUGUGCCAGCAGCCGCGGUAAUACAGAGGUCUCAAGCGUUGUUCGGAAUCACUGGGCGUAAAGCGUGCGUAGGCUGUUUCGUAAGUCGUGUGUGAAAGGCAGGGGCUCAACCCCUGGAUUGCACAUGAUACUGCGAGACUAGAGUAAUGGAGGGGGAACCGGAAUUCUCGGUGUAGCAGUGAAAUGCGUAGAUAUCGAGAGGAACACUCGUGGCGAAGGCGGGUUCCUGGACAUUAACUGACGCUGAGGCACGAAGGCCAGGGGAGCGAAAGGGAUUAGAUACCCCUGUAGUCCUGGCAGUAAACGGUGCACGCUUGGUGUGCGGGGAAUCGACCCCCUGCGUGCCGGAGCUAACGCGUUAAGCGUGCCGCCUGGGGAGUACGGUCGCAAGAUUAAAACUCAAAGAAAUUGACGGGGACCCGCACAAGCGGUGGAGUAUGUGGCUUAAUUCGAUGCAACGCGAAGAACCUUACCUGGGCUUGACAUGUAAUGAACAACAUGUGAAAGCAUGCGACUCUUCGGAGGCGUUACACAGGUGCUGCAUGGCCGUCGUCAGCUCGUGUCGUGAGAUGUUUGGUUAAGUCCAGCAACGAGCGCAACCCCUGUUGCCAGUUACCAGCACGUCAAGGUGGGGACUCUGGCGAGACUGCCCAGAUCAACUGGGAGGAAGGUGGGGACGACGUCAGGUCAGUAUGGCCCUUAUGCCCAGGGCUGCACACGUACUACAAUGCCCAGUACAGAGGGGGCCGAAGCCGCGAGGCGGAGGAAAUCCUGAAAACUGGGCCCAGUUCGGACUGUAGGCUGCAACCCGCCUACACGAAGCCGGAAUCGCUAGUAAUGGCGCAUCAGCUACGGCGCCGUGAAUACGUUCCCGGGUCUUGUACACACCGCCCGUCACAUCAUGGAAGCCGGUCGCACCCGAAGUAUCUGAAGCCAACCGCAAGGAGGCAGGGUCCUAAGGUGAGACUGGUAACUGGGAUG